rnacentral:rRNA from 1 species
GACGAACGCUGGCGGCGUGCCUAAUACAUGCAAGUUGAGCGAUGAAGAUUGGUGCUUGCCCCAAUUUGAAGAGCAGCGAACGGGUGAGUAACGCGUGGGGAAUCUGCCUUUGAGCGGGGGACAACAUUUGGAAACGAAUGCUAAUACCGCAUAACAACUUUAAACAUAAGUUUUAAGUUUGAAAGAUGCAAUUGCAUCACUCAAAGAUGAUCCCGCGUUGUAUUAGCUAGUUGGUGAGGUAAAGGCUCACCAAGGCGAUGAUACAUAGCCGACCUGAGAGGGUGAUCGGCCACAUUGGGACUGAGACACGGCCCAAACUCCUACGGGAGGCAGCAGUAGGGAAUCUUCGGCAAGGGACGAAAGUCUGACCGAGCAACGCCGCGGGAGUGAAGAAGGGUUUCGGAUCGUAAAACUCUGUUGGUAGAGAAGAACGUUGGUGAGAGUGGAAAGCUCAUCAAGUGACGGUAACUACCCAGAAAGGGACGGCUAACUACGUG